rfam:Ixodes scapularis strain Wikel colony gcontig_1108379310936, whole genome shotgun sequence.
GGUGGAGUGGUGUAGAGGUUAGCACACCCGACCGGACAUUGGGCGGCCCACAGUUCAAAUCCUGGCUCCGCCG